ACGCUCGACACCUACGGAGGCAGCAGUAGGGAAUCUUCCACAAUGGACGCAAGUCUGAUGGAGCAACGCCGCGUGAGUGAAGAAGGUCUUCGGAUCGUAAAACUCUGUUGUUAGAGAAGAACACGAGUGAGAGUAACUGUUCAUUCGAUGACGGUAUCUAACCAGCAAGUCACGGCUAACUACGUGCCAACACGCCGCCGGUAACGUACUUCGUAGGACGGGGCCGGUCGGUCGAACGGACG
rnacentral:rRNA from 1 species